CAAGUCUUGUCGGUGGAUCACUCGGCUCGU
rnacentral:rRNA from 2 species